CCUACGGGGUGCAGCAGUGGGGAAUAUUGCACAAUGGGGGAAACCCUGAUGCAGCGACGCCGCGUGAGUGAAGAAGUAUUUCGGUACGUAAAGCUCUAUCAGCAGGGAAGAAAAUGACGGUACCUGACUAAGAAGCCCCGGCUAACUACGUGCCAGCAGCCGCGGUAAUACGUAGGGGGCAAGCGUUAUCCGGAUUUACUGGGUGUAAAGGGAGCGUAGACGGUAGCGCAAGUCUGGAGUGAAAUCCCAUGGCUUAACCAUGGAACUGCUUUGGAAACUGUUCAGCUAGAGUGCAGGAGAGGUAAGCGGAAUUCCUAGUGUAGCGGUGAAAUGCGUAGAUAUUAGGAGGAACACCAGUGGCGAAGGCGGCUUACUGGACUGUAACUGACGUUGAGGCUCGAAAGCGUGGGGAGCAAACAGGAUUAGAUACCCUUGUAGUC
rnacentral:rRNA from 1 species